AAAUACUUAUUACUCAGCGGUCCCAAAUUAAAGCCCAAGUCUUCUCAAUUCAGUUAUCAAUCCUAACUCCUAAGUCGCCUCUCCCUCCCAACUCCCAAGUCCUUCGCAUCCUCCACCACUCAGCCGUCCUCCGUCGUCCCUCGCGCCCUCCCUCCGCUGGAUUUCAAUUGGAACUCGCUUCGCACAAGUCCCUGGCCGCCGUUCGAAGUCUGCCGCAGCUCGAAGUCCCUGGCGGUUGCUGCUUCCACCACAGUUCAGGUUCAAUCGAGUUCGAAGUCCGCCAUCGUUGCUGCUUCCACCACAGUUCACCGGCCGCAGUUCAAUCGAGCAUUUGAUCCCUCCGAUUUCUUUCUUUCUCUCUCCAAAGAUUUAUGUGAAACACCCUAAAUUAGUAAUUUUUGUACUAGUGUCCCUAAUGAUAUCCGUGAUUAAAUUGUUUUAACACCGAUACCUUUGAAAUUAGGGUUUCUGUUUUUUUAUGGUUCGUGAAAUUAGGGAUUAGGACUUGCAGUGGCUAAUUUUGUUGAUUCUUAGUAAUUUUAUCACUUGAUCUUGAUGCCUGAAAACCCUAAUUUCGUGUACCAUUUUAUUUUGAUAAAGUAGAUUAAGAACUGACCUUGGAACGAAGUGCGAGUCAGCAGCGGCAGCAGGAAGCGCCGGCAAUGUUGGUGCAGCAGUAGCAACAGGAGAUCUAAAGAUAAGCCUAAUUCUUGCUUUCUCUCUCCUUGUUCUCAGAUCUAAAGGAAAUUCAUUAUAGUGGAUCAACUAGGUUACCUUAGAACUUUCGAUAUAAGUUUGACAUGGCCCCACCAACUGCAAUGAUUGCGGCGGCUCCUACCAUUGGAGGUCUGACUAUUAUCCUUUUCGCUGAACAUAGAUUUGUGUUUAUAACUACUGCUUCUUUUUUGUUUGCUUUAGUGUGGAAAGUUCGUAUCAAAUUACAUGCUUUCAUUGGGUAAGCUUAUUCAUCCACUUCUUAUUUGCUUUACUGGGCCUGAUGGAGUGUUUGCAGAUGGACGGUGGUUUUAUUUAUUUUUCUCAUUAUAUUUAUUAAGUCAAAUAACUUUGGAACUGAAAGAAAUUUUUGGUUUGUUCUUGUCUUUUGGUGUUUGUUUCUUGUUUGUGUCUUUUGUUUGUUGUAAGAAGGUUAUGUUGGGCUACUUGCCCCACUGCGCUGACAUUGGGUGUGAGCCGACUUCUGUAGCUUUAAUGUACAAGGAAGAACGAGUGCUCAGGUUGGGUUUUGUUCAUCUUUAACUAGCCCCUAAUGUGUGUUUCUGUAGUAUUUCUAAUUAAUCCCUGCAACUGCCUUGUACAUUAUCUAGUUAAGAUCAAUUAUAUCUAGAAAAUCUGAUGAAUAUGUGACCAAAGAAAAUCUUUUAAUUGAAAGGAUUCAUAUAUUUACUGAAAACGAAAUAGGAUGUGUGAUUUUAUCUUGAAAAAGUUCAAUAAGGAUGUGGGUCUUUCAUUUUGAGCAUCGAUGUACUUGGUGCUUCUAUAGAAAUAUGACAAUUUUGUACUCUAUACAACCCCGAUUACAACAGCUCCUGUUCCUGGGGGUUUUCCCAACAUUUUCCCCUUGACACCAGGGCAGGUAUGUGUAUCUUAAUUGUAUGGUUCAUGCUAUUGUUUGUUUUCUACCAUUAGGCCUUCAUGUUAUCUUGUUUGUGGAUGCAGCUUGGAACUCUUCCUGUCAUGCCUGUUCAAGCAAUGACUCAGCAGGCUACUCGGCAUGCUCGACGUGUUUAUGUAGGAGGAUUACCCCCAACAGCUAAUGAACAGGAAAAUGGUGGAACCCAUGUUAAAGAAAGCAGCUUAUUUGCAACUGCACGCACGACGCACCUGAUAAGUUGCACAUCUGGUUUAUCUGCUAGGGUCUUG